rnacentral:rRNA from 1 species
GACGAACGCUGGCGGCGUGCUUAACACAUGCAAGUCGAACGGAGCACCCUUGACUGAGGUUUCGGCCAAAUGAUAGGAAUGCUUAGUGGCGGACUGGUGAGUAACGCGUGAGGAACCUGCCUUUCAGAGGGGGACAACAGUUGGAAACGACUGCUAAUACCGCAUGACGCAUUUUGAUCGCAUGGUCGAAAUGCCAAAGAUUUAUCGCUGAAAGAUGGCCUCGCGUCUGAUUAGCUAGUUGGUGAGGUAACGGCCCACCAAGGCGACGAUCAGUAGCCGGAGUGAGAGAUUGACCGGCGACAGUGGGACUGAGAUACGGCCCAGACUCCUACGGGAGGCAGCAGUGGGGAAUAUUGGGCAAUGGGCGCAAGCCUGACCCAGCAACGCCGCGUGAAGGAAGAAGGCUUUCGGGUUGUAAACUUCUUUUAAGUGGGAAGAGCAGAAGACGGUACCACUUGAAUAAGCCACGGCUAACUACGUGCCAGCAGCCGCAGUAA